GGAGCUUGCUCCCGGAUGUUAGCGGCGGACGGGUGAGUAACACGUGGGUAACCUGCCUGUAAGACUGGGAUAACUCCGGGAAACCGGAGCUAAUACCGGAUAGUUCCUUGAACCGCAUGGUUCAAGGAUGAAAGACGGUUUCGGCUGUCACUUACAGAUGGACCCGCGGCGCAUUAGCUAGUUGGUGAGGUAACGGCUCACCAAGGCGACGAUGCGUAGCCGACCUGAGAGGGUGAUCGGCCACACUGGGACUGAGACACGGCCCAGACUCCUACGGGAGGCAGCAGUAGGGAAUCUUCCGCAAUGGACGAAAGUCUGACGGAGCAACGCCGCGUGAGUGAUGAAGGUUUUCGGAUCGUAAAGCUCUGUUGUUAGGGAAGAACAAGUGCAAGAGUAACUGCUUGCACCUUGACGGUACCUAACCAGAAAGCCACGGCUAACUACGUGCCAGCAGCCGCGGUAAUACGUAGGUGGCAAGCGUUGUCCGGAAUUAUUGGGCGUAAAGGGCUCGCAGGCGGUUUCUUAAGUCUGAUGUGAAAGCCCCCGGCUCAACCGGGGAGGGUCAUUGGAAACUGGGAAACUUGAGUGCAGAAGAGGAGAGUGGAAUUCCACGUGUAGCGGUGAAAUGCGUAGAGAUGUGGAGGAACACCAGUGGCGAAGGCGACUCUCUGGUCUGUAACUGACGCUGAGGAGCGAAAGCGUGGGGAGCGAACAGGAUUAGAUACCCUGGUAGUCCACGCCGUAAACGAUGAGUGCUAAGUGUUAGGGGGUUUCCGCCCCUUAGUGCUGCAGCUAACGCAUUAAGCACUCCGCCUGGGGAGUACGGUCGCAAGACUGAAACUCAA
rnacentral:rRNA from 1 species